UUUUUUCUGGAGAUUUCUUGGUGAAGAUUUUCCUUGUGAAUGCAGAACCUUCUGGUUUGGAGAUGCGGAUAUUCCCCAGGGUUUAACUUUGGCUUCACGUGCUAUUAGAUCACAGGGCACCUGACCUGCAGCUCUUUGGGGGUGGCUGUGCUGUGUAGUAAGGGCCCAGCCUUUCCUGCCAUAGUUCCCCACAAAGGACCAUGCACUGAAGCCAGAAUAUGAUGAUGAAUCUAUAUACACAUGUGUAUUUAUAUUAUGUAUGCAUUUACCUAAAAGAAUGGAUAUGUGAAUAUAUAUAUGUAAGAACACUACAACUAAACCUCAAGGAGAAUUCCCAGAAUAGCAGACCAUUUUACAAGACUUGAAAUUAAAGACAUCCACAAAGAAGGGCUCUUUCUAGUUGGCAAUUGGACAAACAUAGUAAGAUGUAGAUUUUUAAAAGGCAGACUGUAAAACAUUUCAGUGUUUAUGAGAAGCUGUUAUUUUUCUCAUGAAAACACAAUGAACAUAGCAGGCCAAGGAGGUAGUAUUUAUAUAUGUUGCUCUGAAAGUAGUGCCUCCUAUUUAUUUCGAUAAAAACUACAACAGCUAUGAAAAGCACAGUAACACUGUUUGAUAGAGCAAAUUCUCAGAUACAAAACAAUAUUUUUCAGCAUAGUCACCAGCUUUAGCUGUGUUUUUUUGCCAGCCAUGAACAAGAGCCUGCAUACUGUGCUUGUAAAAAAUAAAUAAAUAAAAAAAUCUGUACCAGCAGAAUUGAUCGCUGUUGUCAGUGCUGAAACACACUACCCACCUCAGUGUGCUCACAUCCAAUGUUUGGUCUCCAUAAACAUUCAGCAAGUGCUGCUGAAUGUCAGUGGGUUAUCAAUGUCAGUCAACGUUGUCAGCAGUUUAAAAGGGGGAUAAAAGACCACUGGUUGCACUGGAUAGCUGUACUACUUAGCUUUAAUUUGUUUUGAGAGGUUAUUAGUCCACAAAGAACCAUUUCUGUUGUUACAGAUACAAAUUUCUUUGCUCUUUAAUGGAAUCGUGUUUUCCUUUUGUAUACAAAUUGUGUUGGGGUGAUAAUAACAAUAAUCAUUUCACUAUGUCUUUAAUGCUGUUGCUGAAUUUUCUGGAACUGCUCAGGGAUGCCUUUUUCAUCCCUGUCAGAACCGCACUGUUAUUGGGAUUUCUCUAAUACUUUACAUAAGAUUUUCACUGUAUCAAAUCAUAUGUGAUCAAGGUGCUGGGAAGAGUUUUCUCCUGUAACACAAGGUUGGCUCUUUCAUACCAGCCAUAGUUGUACAGAGGUGACGCUGCAGCUGUGUGGAGGUCGCAGAGUGCAGGGACAACAUGCACUCAGGGCAGUGCUGGGUUCAAAGAGUGAAGUCACAUGUUUUGGGACAACAUGCUGCAAGCCCAGCCUGGGGCAAUGUCACUCACCCAGGGGCUGGGAAUUAAUUGAUAGACUCAGCCUUUCUGUUUUGCCUUCUGCUAGCAAAAGGUGUCAGUAGAGAAAUAAUCUUUAUUUU
ensembl:lncRNA